CAUUUAUCACUUUGAAAUGGGACAGUUUUCUGGAAUGCAACCAAAUACUGGAAAUGAAAAUGUUUUCUGAAAAAUGACUCAUUUUUCAAAAAAAAAAAAACAUUUUCCAAAAGUCAUUUUCAUAG